rnacentral:lncRNA from 1 species
GCAAUUGUUACUGCAGGUGAUGCUCACUCCCCCAAAACAGGCAUAUUUUGUUCCUUUCAGUCUAAUGGAAACUGGACUUCUGGGUAUUAGAGGAAAAUAUUUGCUUGCGUGGCUCAGGAUGUGAUAUGUCAGCAAGACAGAUCACAGGAGGAGAUCUGAGGAGAGUUUAAAGCAUUUGUGGGUGAAGGGAGGAACUGCAGACCUGGAUUCACUCUUGUGGGACAGAAGCUGGGCAGGGAGGACGCGGUGAAGGGUUUUUGUGUCGGGUGCAAGAUGAUGACUGGGGCCAAGACUCACGCUAAGGAUGAUUUGCCACUUUGGCUGCCACACUGAGAGACGAGUCAUAUCCAAUUACAGCUUCCUGAUGUCUCACUCUGGGCAAAGGCACGUACAGAGACAUGCCCUGAGGCUCACUUGUCAAUUUUUCCCCAAGUCAGUGUUUUCUAGUUAUUUUUUCCACUUCCCCACUGUGUCGGGUUCAAUUCCCGUGUUUGCCAAGUGGGCUGUGGGUGGUGAGCCCACCGUGACUUGCCACCAUAAAGCCCAGGCUGGCCAAACCUGCUUUCCUCCCACCAGCUCUGGGGGGGAGCUGGGGGCUGCAGAACCAGGGCAAAGGGAGUCCCUUAGCCAUGCAGAUCCUCAGCUUUGUGUUUGUUUCCUUGUGUGCAGGAGGGGACCUCUGCCCACUCCAACCAGUGCACCAGGGGAGCCUGAUUAUGCCACAGUUGAUGGCUACAGCUUGGUACAUUUCUAGCAGUCACAGUGUUCCAGAAGGCAGAAGACACUGUUGGUCUGACCAGCGUGGCAGAGAUGGUGUUUUCAGUUAUUCCCAGACACACAGAGCUGAAGUGCUUCUGCUUUUCAAGAGAAUGUUUGAGGACUCUGAUGAUUAUUUGUACAUUCAGAAAGCGCUUACUAAAAACCUAGCAAACUCCUUGGAUGGAUCUUCACACUCAGAGGAGGAAAAGGACUGGACACAGGGGUGACCUGUGUCGGAAGAAGGUUUUGGUUUGAAGUUCUUCUAAAGUGUAGCCAUCUAGAAAGUCUGGGGCCUCCCACUCUCUGUAUAACUAAGAAGUUGUAUGUGCUGAGAGGAGUGCUGCACGAUGUUUUGGGCACGCUGGCUUGUGUCCAGGGUAUGUGCAUCCCCCUCAGAUCUCAGGUUUUGCCUGUUCAUAAAGGCUCUUGCCUGUACCUAAAGUCUUUCAUUAGUGGGGAUUAAGCUUGUAAUUUAGGUAAAUUUUUACUCAUAUCUCUAAGAAAUCUUACUUAGAGGGGCACCAGCAGUUACACCACAUAUCUGGCUUAGCUGUAGCUGUGCUCCAGGCUUAAGUAGAAACUGCUUUGCAUCUACCCAGGGAGGGGCAGUGUCACAUCCAACCUGCAGGGAGGUCCCAAGAAGGUUCUAAGGAAUUUAUUCAACUCUUCCAGUCACCUGUGUGAUGAGGGUCUUGUGGGCUUUUAGGUUUAUCAGGUUGCUCCUGGUAAGCUCUGGAGACCAGGCUGGAUGGGACUUGGAGCAACCUGGUCUAGUGGAGGGUGUCCCUGCCCAGAGCAGGGAGUUAGAACUGAUACCUUUUUGGGACUGCCUAAAAACAGAGGCCAGACUAAAUUAAGAUAAUAAAAAGUUAUAUUUAUUGAAGGGCCUUCA